UUCAGCGGCGGACGGGUGAGUAAUACCUAGGAAUCUGCCUGGUAGUGGGGGACAACGUUUCGAAAGGAACGCUAAUACCGCAUACGUCCUACGGGAGAAAGCAGGGGACCUUCGGGCCUUGCGCUAUCAGAUGAGCCUAGGUCGGAUUAGCUAGUUGGUGAGGUAAUGGCUCACCAAGGCGACGAUCCGUAACUGGUCUGAGAGGAUGAUCAGUCACACUGGAACUGAGACACGGUCCAGACUCCUACGGGAGGCAGCAGUGGGGAAUAUUGGACAAUGGGCGAAAGCCUGAUCCAGCCAUGCCGCGUGUGUGAAGAAGGUCUUCGGAUUGUAAAGCACUUUAAGUUGGGAGGAAGGGUACUUACCUAAUACGUGAGUAUUUUGACGUUACCGACAGAAUAAGCACCGGCUAACUCUGUGCCAGCAGCCGCGGUAAUACAGAGGGUGCAAGCGUUAAUCGGAAUUACUGGGCGUAAAGCGCGCGUAGGUGGUUUGUUAAGUUGAAUGUGAAAUCCCCGGGCUCAACCUGGGAACUGCAUCCAAAACUGGCAAGCUAGAGUAGGGCAGAGGGUGGUGGAAUUUCCUGUGUAGCGGUGAAAUGCGUAGAUAUAGGAAGGAACACCAGUGGCGAAGGCGACCACCUGGGCUCAUACUGACACU
rnacentral:rRNA from 1 species